rnacentral:rRNA from 1 species
UACGGGGGGUGCGAGCGUUGUCCGGAAUCACUGGGCGUAAAGGGCGCGUAGGUGGCGUCGUAAGUCUGUGGUGAAAGCCCGGAGCUCAACUCCGGGUCUGCCGCGGAUACUGCGAGGCUUGAGUGCUGUAGAGGGGGGUAGAAUGCCGGGUGUAGCGGUGGAAUGCGUAGAUAUCGGGAGGAACACCUGCGGUGUAGACGGCUUUCUGGACCAUUGUUGACGCUGAGACACGAAAGCGUGGGUAGCAAACAGG